rnacentral:tRNA from 1 species
CGGAGUGUAGCGCAGUCUGGUAGCGCACUACGUUCGGGACGUAGGGGUCGCAGGUUCAAAUCCUGCCACUCCGA